rnacentral:rRNA from 1 species
AGGGAAUCUUCCACAAUGGACGAAAGUCUGAUGGAGCAACGCCGCGUGAGUGAAGAAGGUUUUCGGAUCGUAAAACUCUGUUGUUGGAGAAGAACGUAUUUGAUAGUAACUGAUCAGGUAGUGACGGUAUCCAACCAGAAAGCCACGGCUAACUACGUGCCAGCAGCCGCGGUAAUACGUAGGUGGCAAGCGUUGUCCGGAUUUAUUGGGCGUAAAGCGAGCGCAGGCGGUUUCUUAAGUCUGAUGUGAAAGCCUUCGGCUCAACCGAAGAAGUGCAUCGGAAACUGGGAAACUUGAGUGCAGAAGAGGACAGUGGAACUCCAUGUGUAGCGGUGAAAUGCGUAGAUAUAUGGAAGAACACCAGUGGCGAAGGCGGCUGUCUGGUCUGUAACUGACGCUGAGGCUCGAAAGCAUGGGUAGCAAAU